rnacentral:rRNA from 1 species
GAUCCUGGCUCAGGACGAACGCUGGCGGCGUGCUUAACACAUGCAAGUCGAACGAUGAAGCCCAGCUUGCUGGGUGGAUUAGUGGCGAACGGGUGAGUAACACGUGGGUGAUCUNCCCUGCACUUCGGGAUAAGCCUGGGAAACUGGGUCUAAUACCGGAUAUGACCUCNGGAUGCAUGUCCUGGGGUGGAAAGUUUUUCGGUGCAGGAUGAGCCCGCGGCCUAUCAGCUUGUUGGUGGGGUAAUGGCCUACCAAGGCGACGACGGGUAGCCGGCCUGAGAGGGCGACCGNCCACAUCUGGGACUGAGACACGGCCCAGACUCCUACGGGAGGCAGCAUGUGGGGAAUAUUGCACAAUGGGCGCAAGCCUGAUGCACGCGAGCNCCGCGUGAGGGAUGACGGCCUUCGGGUUGUAAACCUCUUUCAGCAGGACGAAGCG